rnacentral:rRNA from 1 species
AGUACCUCAGGACUGGCUGUCCCGCUGUCUAAAUAACCGUGGUUAGCAAGGGCCGGGCAUGACCGGUGCCAUUCCGCCGCGGUAACACCGGCGGCCCGAGUGGUACCCGAUAUUAUUGGGUUUAAAGGGUCCGUACCCGGCUUAUUAAGUCUCUUGGGAAAUCUGGCGACUUAAUCGUCAGGCGUCCAAGAGAUACUGAUAGGCUUGGGACCGGGAGAGGUGGUAGGUACUCCAGGGGUAGGGGUGAAAUCUCGUAAUCCUUGGGGGACCACCGAUGGCGAAGGCAUCCCACCAGAACGGGUCCGACGGUAAGGGACGAAAGCUGGGGGCACGAACCGGAUUAGAUACCCGGGUAGUCCCAGCUGUAAACUAUGCUCGCUAAGUGUCACAUGCGGUGCGACCGCAUCUGGUGCCGUAGUGAAAACUUGAAGCGAGUCACCUGGGAAGUACGGUCGCAAGGCUGAAACUUAAAGGAAUUGGGGGGAACAAAAAAUUUAAGGAAUUGGCG